rnacentral:rRNA from 1 species
GAUGAACGCUGGCGGCGUGCCUAAUACAUGCAAGUCGAGCGAACAGACGAUGAGCUUGCUCCUCUCUCGUUAGCGGCGCACGGGUGAGUAACACGUGGAUAACCUCCCUAUAAUUCUGGUAUAAUUUCGGGAAAGCGGAGCUAAUACCGGAGAAUAUAUUGAACCGCAUGGUUGAAUAGUGAAAGUCGGUGUUGCUGGCAGGUAUAGAUGGAUCCGCGCCGCAUUAGCUGGUUGCUAAGUUUACCGCUUUCCAAGGGAACGAGGCGUAGCCGAGCUGAUAGGGUGAUCGGCCGCACUGGAACUGAGACACCGUCCAGGCGACUACGGGAGGCAGCAGUAGGCAAUGUUACGCAGUGGGCGAGAGUCUGGCAGAACAACGCCGAGUGAGUGACGAAGGUCUUCGGAUCGUAAAACUCUGUUAUUAGUGAAAAACCACUGUGUAAGUAAAUAUACCCGUCUUGACGGUAACUAAUCAGAAAGCCACGGCUAACUACGUG